rnacentral:lncRNA from 1 species
AUUCUUCUCCUUCCUGUCACCAUGUGAAAGAUAUGCUUGUUUCCUCUUCUGCCGUGAUUUCUCGCUCUGUCACCAGACUGAAGUACAGUGACACGAUCUUGGCUCACUGCAACCUCUGCUUCCUGGGUUCGAGCGAUUCUCCGGCCUCAGUCUCCCAAGCAGCUGAAACUACAGAUGCAGAUAAGAAACGUGGGAAGCCACAAGAAAGCCAAGUAGCCUGGGAAAAAGUGGUCAUUGAGCCAUGAGAAAAAAUUAACAUUUGAUCCUGUUGGUGCCACCUGAAGGCAGAGAUGGCUGAGGACCCCCGAGUGUAAGUCCAGAGAGCUCCCCUGCAGCCCCACCCUGACUUUCCAGGAUGAGCCUUCUCUAGGAAGCCACUGCUCAUUCGGAAAGUGAAGAACGCCUGUGUUUCCAACACCAACCCCAGCUCUGCUGACAUCUCAGGAUGGCAGGACCACGCGUGAUGGAAUACCAGGCAGGGGAGACUCAAAUUUAUAAGUUACAUGAGAUAUUUUGAAACAGGCACACAAUGCAUAAUCACAUCAGGGUAAAUGGGGUAUCCAUUAUGUCAAGCAUUUAUCAUUUCUUUGUGUUACAAACAUUCCAGUUAUAUGUUUAGUUAUUUUAAAAUGCACAAUAAGUUGUUGUUGACUGUGGUCACUCCAUUGUGCUAUCAAAUAGUAGAUCUUAUCUUAUUCAUUCUAUCUAACUAUAUUUUUGUAUCCAUUAACCAGCCCCACUUCUCACUUCUCCAGCUUCCAUUCCCAGCCUCUGGUAACCAUCAUUCUACUAUCUAUCUCCAGGAAUUCAAUUGUUUUAAUUUUUAGUCUCCACAAAUCAGUGAGAACACGCAGUUUAUCUUUCUGUGUCUCUCUUAUUUCACUUAACAUAAUAUCCUCCAGCUCCAUCCAUGUUGCUGCAAAUGAUAGAAUCUCAUCUUUUUUUCAAUUGCUGAAUAGUACUCCGAAACAGUGUGUAUUUGGUAAGUGCUGAUAUAUGUAAACACCACUGAAGUCUUCAGCAAAAUCAGAAUAAUGAACAUGUGUCAAUCCCAAAAACUUCUAUCUGUCUUCUUUGUAUUUCAUUUCUCCCAUCCCUCUA